GAUAUAACAGCUUAGUGGUAGAGUGCAUGUUUAGCAUGCAUGAGAUUUUGGGUUCAAUCCCCAGUACCUUCA
rnacentral:tRNA from 1 species